GGUCUUGUAGUGUAGUGGUUAUCACUCAGGAUUUUGAGAGACCCGGACUUCUCGGGUUGAGAUCUUCCUGAAACCCAGGUUCGAACCCUGGCAAGACCU
rfam:Hydnomerulius pinastri MD-312 unplaced genomic scaffold scaffold_8, whole genome shotgun sequence.